rnacentral:rRNA from 1 species
GAUGAACGCUGGCGGCAUGCUUUACACAUGCCAGUCGGACGGGAAGUGGUGUUUCCAGUGGCUGACGGGUGAGUAACGCGUACGAACCUGCCCUUGGGAGGGGAACAACAGCUGUAAACGGCUGCUAAUACCCCGUAGGCUGAGGAGCGAAAGGAGGAAUCCGCCCAAGGAGGGGCUCGCGUCUGAUUAGCUAGUUGGUGAGGUAAUAGCUUACCAAGGCCGUGAGCAGUAGCUGGUACGAGCGGAUGAGCAGCCAGACUGGGACUGAGACAAGGGCCAGACUGCUACGGGAGGCAGCAGGGGGGAAUGCCCAGCACUGGGAGAAAGCGUGACGGAGCAAUGCCGUGUGGAGGUAAAACGGCUACGGGUCAUGAACUUCUUUUACUGGAGAAGAAACAAUGACGGUAUCUGGGGAAUAAGCAUCGGCUAACUCUGUG